AUGUGAUCAGAUUAAAUCAUUGAAUAACAUAUGAUUUUUUAAGUGAUUGGAAUGAUAUAGCAUGAUGCUAUAAAGAGAAGGUACUAUGAAAUGGUACUAUGUAAACUCAGAAAAGAGUGGAAAAUAUUAAGAUACGGAUUAAAGAAAAUUCGUAUUAAGAAAAGAGAAAGUUAAGAUUAUGUGGGUUUUCAAUUGAGGACUCAUGUCAGUAGCUGAGUUGUAUGAUUCCUUGUAUGGGCGGGGAAUUUGUACUUAGUUUUAGAAUCACUUAGCUUCCUGGUCGAUAUAGUGGUUAGGUUGACCAAUUCUUNN
rnacentral:lncRNA from 1 species